rnacentral:rRNA from 2 species
AAAUUGAAGAGUUUGAUCAUGGCUCAGAUUGAACGCUGGCGGCAGGCCUAACACAUGCAAGUCGAACGGUAACAGGAAGCAGCUUGCUGCUUUGCUGACGAGUGGCGGACGGGUGAGUAAUGUCUGGGAAACUGCCUGAUGGAGGGGGAUAACUACUGGAAACGGUGGCUAAUACCGCAUAACGUCGCAAGACCAAAGAGGGGGACCUUCGGGCCUCUCGCCAUCAGAUGUGCCCAGAUGGGAUUAGCUUGUUGGUGAGGUAACGGCUCACCAAGGCGACGAUCCCUAGCUGGUCUGAGAGGAUGACCAGCCACACUGGAACUGAGACACGGUCCAGACUCCUACGGGAGGCAGCAGUGGGGAAUAUUGCACAAUGGGCGCAAGCCUGAUGCAGCCAUGCCGCGUGUAUGAAGAAGGCCUUCGGGUUGUAAAGUACUUUCAGCGGGGAGGAAGGUGUUGUGGUUAAUAACCGCAGCAAUUGACGUUACCCGCAGAAGAAGCACCGGCUAACUCCGUGCCAGCAGCCGCGGUAAUACGGAGGGUGCAAGCGUUAAUCGGAAUUACUGGGCGUAAAGCGCACGCAGGCGGUCUGUCAAGUCGGAUGUGAAAUCCCCGGGCUCAACCUGGGAACUGCAUUCGAAACUGGCAGGCUUGAGUCUUGUAGAGGGGGGUAGAAUUCCAGGUGUAGCGGUGAAAUGCGUAGAGAUCUGGAGGAAUACCGGUGGCGAAGGCGGCCCCCUGGACAAAGACUGACGCUCAGGUGCGAAAGCGUGGGGAGCAAACAGGAUUAGAUACCCUGGUAGUCCACGCCGUAAACGAUGUCUACUUGGAGGUUGUGCCCUUGAGGCGUGGCUUCCGGAGCUAACGCGUUAAGUAGACCGCCUGGGGAGUACGGCCGCAAGGUUAAAACUCAAAUGAAUUGACGGGGGCCCGCACAAGCGGUGGAGCAUGUGGUUUAAUUCGAUGCAACGCGAAGAACCUUACCUGGUCUUGACAUCCACAGAACUUUCCAGAGAUGGAUUGGUGCCUUCGGGAACUGUGAGACAGGUGCUGCAUGGCUGUCGUCAGCUCGUGUUGUGAAAUGUUGGGUUAAGUCCCGCAACGAGCGCAACCCUUAUCCUUUGUUGCCAGCGGUCCGGCCGGGAACUCAAAGGAGACUGCCAGUGAUAAACUGGAGGAAGGUGGGGAUGACGUCAAGUCAUCAUGGCCCUUACGACCAGGGCUACACACGUGCUACAAUGGCGCAUACAAAGAGAAGCGACCUCGCGAGAGCAAGCGGACCUCAUAAAGUGCGUCGUAGUCCGGAUUGGAGUCUGCAACUCGACUCCAUGAAGUCGGAAUCGCUAGUAAUCGUGGAUCAGAAUGCCACGGUGAAUACGUUCCCGGGCCUUGUACACACCGCCCGUCACACCAUGGGAGUGGGUUGCAAAAGAAGUAGGUAGCUUAACCUUCGGGAGGGCGCUUACCACUUUGUGAUUCAUGACUGGGGUGAAGUCGUAACAAGGUAACCGUAGGGGAACCUGCGGUUGGAUCACCUCCUUACCUGAAAGAA